rnacentral:rRNA from 1 species
AAACCGUUGAAAGGGAAGCGAAUGGAGUUAGCAAUUCGCCUCGCCAGAUUCAGUUUCUCGCCUCCCGAGACGCGCGUCAUCUCGAUCUCUAUAGACGAGUGGCGUGCGGACGCGGGACGUGAGAGGCGCACUUCUGGCGGGCGAGCGUCAACGUCGGUUUCGGCCGAGCUACAAGGUCGAGGGGAAGGUGGAUCGAUCUUCGGAUCGAUUGUUAAGCCCCUCGAACGCACGGCUCGUCCGAGACCGAGGCAUACUUGGCGACGCGUGCCUCCCUCUCGCGGGGGUUGGCGGGUGUCCCGUUUCGUUUGUUCGGCUGUCGACCGUGGCGGACGGCACGCCUGUGCGCUCGAACCGCUGCCGUUCAACGAAUCGGUGAUCACACUAGACGCGUCUACGACGUUGACGACCAUACGGCUCUAUCCGACCCGUCUUGAAACACGGACCAAGGAGUCUAACAUGUGCGCGAGUCUCCGGGUGAUCGAAACCCGUGGGCGAAAUGAAAGUAAAGGCAGCCUAGGCUGCUGAGGUGAGAAGCGUCGCCGUAUAGGCGGCGCCGCAUCAUCGACCGACCUAUUCUACUCCUAGAACGGUUUGAGUAAGAGCGUAUCUGUUGGGACCCGAAAGAUGGUGAACUAUGCCUGAAUAGGGUGAAGCCAGCGGAAACACUGGUGGAAGCUCGUAGCGAUUCUGACGUGCAAAUCGAUCGUCGAAUUUGGGUAUAGCGGCGAAAGACUAAUCGAACCAUCUAGUAGCUGGUUCCCUCCGAAGUUUCCCUUAGGAUAGCUGGAGCUCGGAUGCAGUUUU